AUGUACAUGCAUACAACAUAGCGUUAGUGCACCAGAUCCCAUUAAAACUCUGCAGUUAAGCGUACUCUGGCUAGAGUAGUACAGGGAAGUCCUAGUGUUUUACAUG
rnacentral:rRNA from 1 species